GACAGGAUGUGCAGGUGCAGAAGCGGGAGAUGGGGGCUUCCAGGCGGGUAACGUUAGAAUGUGGUGACAGCGGUUAAAAACGGAACAUAAUAAGUUUACCACUGCAUUUUUAAUGCAAAGUAGAAGGGAGACUUUCACUUGCUGAAAGUUGAUUAAAUCUGUGCAAGGCGCCUCAUAAAGCCACUUGGCAUAUCCGAAACCGAAUGAAAUGAUAAGCAGCCGGAGUGCAACAGAUUACCAGUCAGAAACUCCUGGUGGAAUUCCGGAACCUUUACCACGAGCGCCUUCGACGCAUUGACCAAUAAGAUCACAGCCGGGAGGAGGCUCUGCAGAGCAAGGUGGGCGUGCUGCAGUCGUUUGUGUGGGACCUGAGUGAGCAGAAUGAGGUUCUGAUCCAGGCGCUGGAGGCUGAGGAGGCGGAGGACCGGGCGGUGGAGGGGAGAACAGUCAGCCUUCACAAAGAACUGGAGCGCCGCCGAUCCUUGGCUCUGUGCCUGAUGCCAGUGGACCUCGUGGGAACCACGGCAACGUACCAAGACCCGUGACCCGAACCGGUGGAGGAGCGUGAAGCCCAGGUCCAGGAGCUGCAGGACACCAUCACAGAGCUGCACCAGGAGAUGAACAGGAAGGACCAGGACAAGCUGACACAGCUGCAGGAGCUCCACCAGCUGGAGAGCAGUGUGAAGCAGCUCACUGACCAGGUCAGGAGCAUUGAGGAGACCACAGGCCAGCUGAGACAGGAGGUGGCUGUUAGAGUGGGCAUCAGCAGCGCUACCCUGUCUGGGGAUGUGACUACAGCAGGGAAGGGGAGUACUACUGACCCGACAGGAUCCAGUCCCACAUCUUACAGAACAGAGGGGCAGAGAACUGCUGAAGACUGAGUUAUCAUGUCGGGACGCAACCAUCCAGAGGCUCCGGUGAGAUGUGCUGCUCUCCCACCAGGCCCGCGACUCCCAGUCUGCUCAGCUGGAUGUCCAUGGGCAGAGGAUCUCUCAGCUGCAGACGGAGCUACAGGAGAGCCAACUGGAGCUCCAGAGGGGACACAGCCGAAGAGAGCAGCAGCAGAGGGACCUGCAGACCCAGACACAGCAGGCAGAGGAGCUCCACACUCAGAGCUCUGCCAGGGUCAGAGAGGACACAGAGAGUGCCCAGGCAGAGGUGUGUGGACCUGGAGGGGGAGCUGACAGAGACCCCUCCCCAGAGACCAAGGGAAGCCUGGGCUGAGGAGCAGACCCAGAAGUUCCAGGCCAUGGUGUCCAGUCUGAAGAGCCAGCAUGGCUGUGUUAGUCAGCAGCUGCAGGACAGGAGUGCUGAGGUGCAGAGGCUCCAGAGGUCAUUGGCUGAGCUACAUGGAACGAGAAAUGGAGUGGGAGAGAGAGACAUCCGCCCUGCAGGGCCAGCCGGGCCUUGCCAGAGAGGAGCUCCACAGCGCCAUCCUCAGGAGGCAGGCACAGCAGCAGAAGGAAGAGCUGUUUGGUGAGCUGCAGAGGGAGGUGGACAGACUGAAGAAUGGGAGAGAGGAGAUGCGAAAAAAGAGAGGCUCCACAAAAGACUGCAACUGCUGUGGGGCUGCGUGCCUUGACACUGCCGACCCUGAGCUAUUGAGGAAAAAAAGACGUCUGCUUUAAGAUGAGGCUCAACUGUGCUACCUUCAAGGCCUUUGUGGAAGAGAAGAGGAGCUGAAGAGGCUGAGAGACGAGCAGCAUCAGCUCAAGGACAAGCUUGCCCAGAAGGAAGAGAUGGU